rnacentral:rRNA from 1 species
AUGAUGUCGACAUUGACAGUGCCCCUCCACAACCUGAAGACACUAUAUUUUUCUGACCUGGCUUGUUGCACCCAACUUCCCAAUGGGUUGUGUCAGCUCCCCUAUCUGCAUUUGCUUCAGGUCUGCAAUGCUCCAUGCAUCAGGCGUGUUGAGACUGGAUUCUUGCAGGCAGCGGCAACACCAUUUCCAAGGUUAAACAAUUUGUCCUUAAUUGGAUUGGUGGAAUGGGAGGAGUGGGAGUGGGAGGAGCAAGUGGAAGCUAUGCCACAUUUGGACGAGCUCUUUCUCUGUAAUUGCAGACUGAGGCGUGUUCCACUUGGGCUUGCCUCCAAUGCAAAGGCUCUGAAGAAAUUAAUCAUACAAGAUAUCCAACACCUGAGCUAUCUUGAGAACUUUCCUCUUAUUGUUGAUCUUACAUUGCUUGGAAGCUCCGACUUGGAGAGGAUCACCAAUUUCCCAAAUCUGCAGAAGCUUACCAUCACCUAUUGCCCAAAGUUGAAUGUGCUGGAGAGUAUCCCUGCGCUCAAUAUGUUGAUCCUUGAAGAUUACACCAUGGAAGAACUCCCAGAAUACAUGCGAGAUAUAAAGCCAAGACAUUUUCAAUUAUUCUGCAGGUUAUGGCUGCUCCGUUCAGUAGCCGCAGGCCAAUCUGGUAUCGAGUGGGACAAAUUCAGCCACGUGGAGCAUGUCAAGGCAUAUGCGUAUGAUGGUAUGAACAAAAGGAAGUGGUAUGUGAUGUACACAAGAAGUGACAACUUCAAGAUUGAUUCAUAG